rnacentral:rRNA from 1 species
AGCGUACACGGUGGAUGCCCUGGCAGUCAGAGGCGAUGAAGGACGUGCUAAUCUGCGAUAAGCGUCGGUAAGGUGAUAUGAACCGUUAUAACCGGCGAUUUCCGAAUGGGGAAACCCAGUGUGAUUCGUCACACUAUCAUUAACUGAAUCCAUAGGUUAAUGAGGCGAACCGGGGGAACUGAAACAUCUAAGUACCCCGAGGAAAAGAAAUCAACCGAGAUUCCCCCAGUAGCGGCGAGCGAACGGGGAGGAGCCCAGAGCCUGAAUCAGUGUGUGUGUUAGUGGAAGCGUCUGGAAAGGCGCGCGAUACAGGGUGACAGCCCCGUACACAAAAAUGCACAUACUGUGAGCUCGAUGAGUAGGGCGGGACACGUGGUAUCCUGUCUGAAUAUGGGGGGACCAUCCUCCAAGGCUAAAUACUCCUGACUGACCGAUAGUGAACCAGUACCGUGAGGGAAAGGCGAAAAGAACCCCGGCGAGGGGAGUGAAAAAGAACCUGAAACCGUGUACGUACAAGCAGUGGGAGCACGCUUCGGCGUGUGACUGCGUACCUUUUGUAUAAUGGGUCAGCGACUUAUAUUCUGUAGCAAGGUUAACCGAAUAGGGGAGCCGAAGGGAAACCGAGUCUUAACUGGGCGUUAAGUUGCAGGGUAUAGACCCGAAACCCGGUGAUCUAGCCAUGGGCAGGUUGAAGGUUGGGUAACACUAACUGGAGGACCGAACCGACUAAUGUUGAAAAAUUAGCGGAUGACUUGUGGCUGGGGGUGAAAGGCCAAUCAAACCGGGAGAUAGCUGGUUCUCCCCGAAAGCUAUUUAGGUAGCGCCUCGUGAAUUCAUCUCCGGGGGUAGAGCACUGUUUCGGCAAGGGGGUCAUCCCGACUUACCAACCCGAUGCAAACUGCGAAUACCGGAGAAUGUUAUCACGGGAGACACACGGCGGGUGCUAACGUCCGUCGUGAAGAGGGAAACAACCCAGACCGCCAGCUAAGGUCCCAAAGUCAUGGUUAAGUGGGAAACGAUGUGGGAAGGCCCAGACAGCCAGGAUGUUGGCUUAGAAGCAGCCAUCAUUUAAAGAAAGCGUAAUAGCUCACUGGUCGAGUCGGCCUGCGCGGAAGAUGUAACGGGGCUAAACCAUGCACCGAAGCUGCGGCAGCGACACUAUGUGUUGUUGGGUAGGGGAGCGUUCUGUAAGCCUGUGAAGGUGUACUGUGAGGUAUGCUGGAGGUAUCAGAAGUGCGAAUGCUGACAUAAGUAACGAUAAAGCGGGUGAAAAGCCCGCUCGCCGGAAGACCAAGGGUUCCUGUCCAACGUUAAUCGGGGCAGGGUGAGUCGACCCCUAAGGCGAGGCCGAAAGGCGUAGUCGAUGGGAAACAGGUUAAUAUUCCUGUACUUGGUGUUACUGCGAAGGGGGGACGGAGAAGGCUAUGUUGGCCGGGCGACGGUUGUCCCGGUUUAAGCGUGUAGGCUGGUUUUCCAGGCAAAUCCGGAAAAUCAAGGCUGAGGCGUGAUGACGAGGCACUACGGUGCUGAAGCAACAAAUGCCCUGCUUCCAGGAAAAGCCUCUAAGCAUCAGGUAACAUCAAAUCGUACCCCAAACCGACACAGGUGGUCAGGUAGAGAAUACCAAGGCGCUUGAGAGAACUCGGGUGAAGGAACUAGGCAAAAUGGUGCCGUAACUUCGGGAGAAGGCACGCUGAUAUGUAGGUGAAGCGACUUGCUCGUGGAGCUGAAAUCAGUCGAAGAUACCAGCUGGCUGCAACUGUUUAUUAAAAACACAGCACUGUGCAAACACGAAAGUGGACGUAUACGGUGUGACGCCUGCCCGGUGCCGGAAGGUUAAUUGAUGGGGUUAGCGGUAACGCGAAGCUCUUGAUCGAAGCCCCGGUAAACGGCGGCCGUAACUAUAACGGUCCUAAGGUAGCGAAAUUCCUUGUCGGGUAAGUUCCGACCUGCACGAAUGGCGUAAUGAUGGCCAGGCUGUCUCCACCCGAGACUCAGUGAAAUUGAACUCGCUGUGAAGAUGCAGUGUACCCGCGGCAAGACGGAAAGACCCCGUGAACCUUUACUAUAGCUUGACACUGAACAUUGAGCCUUGAUGUGUAGGAUAGGUGGGAGGCUUUGAAGUGUGGACGCCAGUCUGCAUGGAGCCGACCUUGAAAUACCACCCUUUAAUGUUUGAUGUUCUAACGUUGGCCCCUAAUCGGGGUUGCGGACAGUGUCUGGUGGGUAGUUUGACUGGGGCGGUCUCCUCCUAAAGAGUAACGGAGGAGCACGAAGGUUGGCUAAUCCUGGUCGGACAUCAGGAGGUUAGUGCAAUGGCAUAAGCCAGCUUGACUGCGAGCGUGACGGCGCGAGCAGGUGCGAAAGCAGGUCAUAGUGAUCCGGUGGUUCUGAAUGGAAGGGCCAUCGCUCAACGGAUAAAAGGUACUCCGGGGAUAACAGGCUGAUACCGCCCAAGAGUUCAUAUCGACGGCGGUGUUUGGCACCUCGAUGUCGGCUCAUCACAUCCUGGGGCUGAAGUAGGUCCCAAGGGUAUGGCUGUUCGCCAUUUAAAGUGGUACGCGAGCUGGGUUUAGAACGUCGUGAGACAGUUCGGUCCCUAUCUGCCGUGGGCGCUGGAGAACUGAGGGGGGCUGCUCCUAGUACGAGAGGACCGGAGUGGACGCAUCACUGGUGUUCGGGUUGUCAUGCCAAUGGCACUGCCCGGUAGCUAAAUGCGGAAGAGAUAAGUGCUGAAAGCAUCUAAGCACGAAACUUGCCCCGAGAUGAGUUCUCCCUGACUCCUUGA